GACGAACGCUGGCGGCGCGCUUAACACAUGCAAGUCGAGCGAGAACCAUUCCUUCGGGAAUGGGGACAGCGGCGAACGGGUGAGUAACACGUGGGUAAUCUGCCCUCGAUUCUGGGAUAGCCCGGGGAAACCCGGAUUAAUACCGGAUAGCCUCUCGAGCUUUCGAGCUCUUGAGAAAAGGUAGCUUCGGCCUCCGAUCGAGGAUGAGCCCGCGGCGGAUUAGCUUGUUGGUGGGGAAUGGCCUACCAAGGCAACGAUCCGUAGCUGGUCUGAGAGGACGAUCAGCCACACUGGGACUGAGACACGGCCCAGACUCCUACGGGAGGCAGCAGUGGGGAAUCUUGCGCAAUGGGCGAAAGCCUGACGCAGCGACGCCGCGUGGGGGGAAGAAGGCCUCGGU
rnacentral:rRNA from 1 species